GGUACCCAACAAGCAAACCUCUAAACACAAGUUAAGUGAACAAAAUACGGGUACUCCUUACACCCUAUCUAAACCUCCACGCUACAGCCUAACAGUUUACCAAACACACCACUCAAUAACCACACUCUAUCAGUUUACACAUUCUCAAUAACAACUCAAUAUUCAACAAUCACAGACUUCACAGAGAAACAAUCACAAGAUCAGCAAAACACAUGUUCAAGUUCAUCAAUAAUAAAAUGUGCAAUGCCAUGAGAUGCAAUGUCAAAUAUCGUGAUGCAUGUCUUUCCUAACGAUACACACCCGCUGUCUCUCAGUCCGGGACCCAUGGGAGACAUAUCUGUCCAUGCAUUUGUCGCGGCGCACGACACGACCCUCGAUAAGUAGUAACCUUCGCGGCGCGCGAUACGUCCCUCGAAAUAUAAUAUCCAUCGCGGCGUGCGAUACGACCCUCGAAAAUAGUACACCAUCCUCUUACCACAACCAUGUCUCAGAUACAAUGCAAAUGACAUGCUCAAAUGAAAAGGAGGAGAUAACCAUUUGAUAACAAAGCACAAUAUACAACAAGAAAUACAACACCAACAAAUACACAACAAGUCUCCAAAUCAUUCUCAACAUCACACAAGGAAAUACACGAAUUUCGUAUGCUUAAGAAGAGUUUAGAAAUCCACUUGCCUUAAAUCAACGAACAAUCACUCCGGGACUUGUGUUUUCCCCUUUCGUUGAGCUUCCAAACCAAUGCAAUCUAUUCAAGUAUAUAGUUGGAAUCAAAUUCCGACACUAACAACACUUAUGUUAUAUAGGUUUAGCUUAGACCGAAAAGCUUAUCCAACUUUAUAAUUAAGUUAACAUAUAAAUUCUCAUAUUUCCAAAUUUCAAGUCUAAAGUUAAAGCAUAAUUCCCCAAUAUCAUAAAUUUAAUGAUAUUCAUAUAACAUUUUAAUCUAAUAUUUGAUUACUUCUAUCACUAACUCAUAACUUUAAUAAUAAGGUGAUACCAUAUAUAUAUAUAUAUAUAUAUAUAUAUAUAUAUAUAUAUAUAUAUAUAUAUAUAUAUAUAUAUAUUAAUUUUUAAAGAAAGCACAGGGAUAAAAUAUUCGUGCAGUAGUGCUAAUUAACUAUCACUAUUCCUCACUUAAAUUUCCCAAGGAUCAUUGUCCAAUGAUUAGGCCAUCAUUGUCCAAUGAUUAGACCAUCAUUGAACAAUGAUUAGACCAUAGAAAUCAUCCAUAUUCAUACCCAACUCCAAUACGUAUAACACUGCCCCUUCCUUAUUCCAAAUCUCUUUUCUUUCCAUUCCAUUAUAAUAUCAUAUCAUAUAUAUAUAUAUAUAUAUAUAUAUAUAUAUAUAUAGCCAUUUAAUGAAAACAUUUGCACAAAAGCAUUUAAAUUAGGCAUAGUUUAAGCAUUAGUUCCUCCCCUAAAACUUCCAACCAACAUACUCCUUCCAAUUCUAUAUAUAUAUCCAAUAGUAAACAUUUUCUAUAUUUUAUAUAAAGUAACAUAAAGUAUUUAAUGCAUGCCUACCAAGAAUUGAAGAUGGCCGACGGGAAUUCUGCAAAUUUCUUUCUUUUUGUUUUUCCUCUUUGAUUGAUGCUGCGCUAGGUUACGUUAUUCCUCUCCCUUUUUCGUUUGUGUUUUCUGACUCUUUUUAAAAAAAAUUAAUUAUGUACUAAAAAUGAUAGGUUUUACCCACAUAUUUUAUUAAAUAUAGUCUAAAUGGUAUGGGGUCUUAAAUAAAUUAUCACUUUAGCCCAUAAACUAUCGAUUAAUUAACUUAAGUUAAAUAAAUAUUCAAAAUUCUAAAGAGGAGCUUUUGGGUCAUUACAUUAUCCACCACUAAAAAUCAUGUUCGUCCUCGAACAUAGAGUAAAAGUAAUUACCUGUAGCUUCAAAAAGUUGAGGAUAUCUAGCACGCAUGUCAGACUGAGUCUCACAAGUUUCCUCUCCCACUGAUUGGUGCUUCCAUUGCACCUUCCCUGAAGCAAUCUCUUUGGUCCUAAGCUUUCGAAUUUGCCUAUCCAAAAUAGCUAUAGGCUCCUCCUCAAAUGCCAAGUCUGGACCCAACUCCACAGAAUCAAGUGAAAGCACAUGAGAUUCGUCCGGAAUAUACUUUCGAAGCAUAGAGACAUGAAAAACAGGAUGUACUGCUGACAAACUAGGUGGCAAGGCCAACUUAUAGGCCACCUCUCCCACUCGUAUCUCAAAAGGGCCAAUGAAUCUAGGACUAAGCUUGCCCUUCUUUCCGAACCUCAUCACACCCUUCAUGGGUGAUACUCGGAGCCAAACAUGAUCACCCUCCAUAAACACCGAAGCUCUAACUCUCCGGUCUGCGUAACUCUUCUGUCGACUCUGAGCUGUCAAUAAUCUAUACUGAAUCAAACGGACUUGCUCCAUAGCAUCUCUCAACAAGUCUGUAUCCAAAGAGUCUAUCUCCGCCGAAUCAAACCAACCAAUCGGAGACCUACACCGCCUUCCAUACAACGCCUCAAAUGGGGCCAUCUGGAUACUAGAGUGAUAACUGUUAUUAUAAGCAAACUCCGCUAAUGGUAAAUGUUGAUCCCAUCUAGCACCAAAAUCGAUCACACACGCUCGAAGCAUAUCUUCCAAUACCUGAAUGGUCCGCUCAGAUUGACCAUCUGUUUGAGGGUGAAAUGCCAUACUCAUAUCUAACUGAGUACCCAGACCAUGUUGUAAUGCCUUCCAAAAGUGAGAAGUAAAUAGUGAACCUCGAUCUGAUAUGAUAGAAAUAGGAACUCCAUGUAGUCGCACAAUCUGGCUGAUAUAUAGCUCAGCUAACUUUUCUGCUGUAUACUUCACCCGAACCGGGAUGAAGUGGGCAGACUUGGUCAGCCUAUCAACAAAAACCCAAAUAGAGUCAUAACCACCCACUGUGGUAGGCAAACCCACGAUAAAGUCCAUAGUAAUCCGCUCUCACUUCCAAGUAGGAAUAGGCAUCCUCUGAGAUACACCCCCGGGCCGCUGGUGCUCACACUUGACCUGCUGGCAAGUCAAACACCUCGAAACAAAGUCUGAAAUAUCUCUCUUCAUCCCACACCACCAGUAAUGCUGACUCAGAUCAUGAUACAUCUUUCGCCGCUCCCGAAUGGAUGGAAUACCGAAAACAAUGGGCCUCCUCAAGAAUCAAUCUAAUCAAAUCGCCUGUCUUAGGCACACAAAUUCUGCCUCCGAUCCGUAAGACACCAUCAGAAUCAAGGACAGCCUCCUUAGCUUCCCCACUCAAUACUUUGUCUCGAAUGAGACAUAAUUUUACAUCAUCAAACUGGUGUGCACGAAUCUGCUCGACUAAAGAAGAUCGAGCCUCAAUAAAAGCAAUCAUUCCAUCACUCUCAUCUGAGAUCUGUAAUCGGACAAGACUGUUAGCUAACAAUUGAACAUCUCUAGCCAAUGGUCUUUCCUCAACACUAAGAGAUGCAAGACUCCCCAUGCUAUGAGUCUUCCUACUCAAAGCAUCGGCCAUAACAUUGGCCUUCCCCGGAUGAUACAGAAUGGUCACAUCAUAGUCCUUCAGCAACUCAAGCCAUCUUCGUUGCCUCAAGUUCAAAUCCCUCUGGCUAAAGAUAUACUUGAAGACUCCGAUGAUCAGUGAAGAUCUCACAAUGCACUCCAUACAAAUAAUGACGCCAUAACUUAAGUACAAAUACCACAGCCGCUAACUCCAGAUCAUGAGUAGGGUAGUUCUUCUCAUGGGACUUCAAUUGCCUAGAAGCAUAAGCAAUCACUUUCCCCUUCUGCAUCAACACACCACCCAAACCAAUUCCUGAAGCAUCACAAUACACAGUAAAGUCUAAACCUUCUUCAGGUAGAGUCAACACAGGAGCAGAAGUCAACAAAGUCUUGAGCUUUUGAAAGCUCUCCUCACACUCAUCGGACCACUGAAAACUCACAUCCUGUCGAGUCAAUCUAGUCAAUGGAGCUGCAAUAGUAGAGAAACUCUGAACAAAUCGUCGAUAAUAGCCUGCCAAUCCCACAAAACUCCUAAUCUCAGUAGGUGAAGUAGGUCGCGUCCAGCCUCUAACUGCCUCAAUCUUGGCCGGAUCUACUCUAAUACCCUCCUUGGACACCACGUGUCCCAAGAAUAUCACAGAAGUAAGCCAGAACUCACACUUUGAGAACUUGACAUACAACUUCUCUUCUCUCAACCUCUGAAGUACAAUCCUCAGGUGUCGAACAUGGUCCUCCUCAGUCUUAGAGUAAACCAAGAUGUCAUCGAUGAAAACAAUCACAAAAGAAUCAAGGUAUGGUCGAAACACCCCAUUCAUCAACUCCAUGAAUGCUGCAGGGGCAUUAGUCAAUCCGAAGGACAUCACUAGAAACUCAUAAUGCCCAUACCGGGUCCGAAAAGCUGUCUUAGGGAUAUCUGAUGCCUUAAUCUUCAACUGAUGAUACCCAGACCUCAAAUCAAUCUUAGAGAACAGUGAUGCUCCCUGUAAUUGAUCAAAUAAUUCAUCAAUACGCGGAAGAGGAUACUUGUUCUUCACUGUUACUUUGUUCAACUGUCUUCAAUACACAUCCUCAUAGUUCCAUCCUUUUUCUUCACAAACAAUACAGGGGCACCCCAAGGUGAUACACUAGGGCGAAUAAAACCCUUACUCAAUAAAUCUUGCAACUGAUCCUUCAAUUCUUUCAACUCUGCUGGGGCCAUACGAUAUGGAGGUAUAGAAAUAGGCUUAGUUCCCGGCUCCAAAUCAAUAGCAAAAUCAAUAUCCCUAUCGGGAGGAACACCCGGAAGAUCAGAAGGAAAUACAUCGAGAAACUCCUGAACCACGGGAACAGAGUCCAUGGAAGGUGGUUCAACACUAGUAUCCCGAAUAAACGCUAAGUAAGACAAACACCCCCUCUCCACCAAUUUCUAAGCACGGAUAAAAGAGAUGACCUUGCUAGGAUAAGAACCACUAGCACUCUUCCACUCAACCCUCGGAAUACCAGGCAUUGCUAAAGUCACAGUCUUAGCAUUACAAUCAAGGACAACAUGAUAAGGAGAAAGCCAAUCCAUACCCAAGAUAACAUCAAAGUCCACCAUCCCCAGAAUGAUUAAGUCCACCCAAGUGUCAUACCCAGCCAAAGAAACAAGACAUGAUCGAUAUACUCGAUCCACCACUAAGGGCUUACCCACAGGUGUAGAAACACGAAUAGGUUCAGUCAUGCUAUCACAUAUCAUAUCAAAUUUAGCAGCAAAAUAUGUAGACACAUAAGAGAAUGUAGAACCUGGAUCAAACAACACAGACGCAGGUCGAUGGCAUACUGGGAUGAUACCUGUAAUAACAGCAUUAGAGGUCUCCACCUCAGGUCUCCUGGGGAAAGCAUAACAGUGGGAUCCUCGUCCACCUCCAGCCUGGGUGGUACCUCUACCCCCACUCUGCUGAGCUGCAACACCAUUACUAGAAACUCCAUCACCUCUACCUGACUGAACUCUGCCACGACCUCUACCUUGUGGAGCUGGUGGUCUAGUCUGGAAUGAAGAAUUAGGUCGAGGCCCACCACGACCCCUUUGAGAAGUACACUGCCGCAUUAGAUGAUCGGGAUCUCCACAAGUAAAACAAAAUCUCUGACUUGGGAACUGCUGUGUGGACCCUGAAAACCCACUAUAAUUGCCUCGCCCUGUAGGUCGCUGCUGUGAACCGUACAAGCCCUGACCUGGGCUAUAAGAACCCUUAGAUGUCUGGCCACCCUCAAAUGUCGGCAUAGAUGCAUGAAUAGGUCCCCGCUGCUGAAAAGAACCACUCACUCUCUGUGAUCCCCUACCUACAGAUGAGGCACCAUGAAACUGGCCUGAUAUACGGGCUCUUUUAGGGUCCCCAAACUCCUCUAUCUCCAUCAAUUCUGCCUCUUUUGCGGCGCUCACAAUGGACUGGAAAGAAGCCCCCUCCCUAGAUGCCCGAAACACAGUUGACCUGAUAGAGAAAGUCAAUCCCCUCACAAAUCUGCGGAUCCUCUCUGUCUUAUUUGGAAUAAUGGCCAACGCAUGCCUAGACAACUGUCAAAAACGCGCCUCAUACUCUGUAACCGAUAAACCAUCCUGUCUCAGACUCUCAAACCUCAAGCGACUCUCCUCUCUCAUGCUCCAUGGGAUAAAACGAUCUUGGAAUGUGCUAGCAAACUGCUCUCAAGUCACUGGAGGAGAUCCAACUGGCAAACAUCCCGAAUAAGUCCUCCACCAGUCUCUCGCUGGUCCACGAAGCUGGAGUGUAGCAUAUCGAACCCCAUGUGACUCAGCCAAUCCAACCACCUCUAGUAACUCUCGGCAGGUAGUUAGAAACUCAUGAGCGUCCUCGCUCUUCCCACCCUGAAACUGAGGUGGGUCCAUCUUUCGAAAUCUCUCAUACCUACGUUGCUCAUCCUCUGUGAAAACAACCAUCGAUGCAACUUGACCCCCAACUGCUGGUGCAACAUCAUUCUGAACCGCGGGAUCUACUGGUAGUUGCCCCACCGCAUCCUGAACAACUGGAGCUUGUUGCUGCUCUUGGGUCUGAGCCCCCUCUCUAGUACGAGAGUCAUAUGGUGUGGUAGUCGCUCCACCACCCUGAGAAAAGCCCUCUAGCACACUUAACACCCUCAAUAGCGUAUCCUAAAGCAAAGGUGUGACUACGGAAUCUGGAGGAACCUGGUCCUCUUUGUCAUCAAUCUGAGGUUCGGUAGAGAUCUCUCUAGCACUACCUCUCAAUGGUGCUGCUCCACAUCCACGACCUCUGGCUACUGUCGUACUACUAGCACGACCUCUAGCUCGAGAUCUACCCCUACCCCUAGCUGGGGCCUCAACAACUGCCUCGGGAAGUGCCUCCACUCUACCACCAGUAACAUUAGUUCUAGUCCUCGUCAUCUGUCAAAAGAGUAUACAACAACUCAGUACUAAAGAAGGUGACUACGCACGAUGAGAAAGAAUGAACAAAAAGAAGUUUCCUAGUAAUCCUCAUAGCCUCUCAGAGAUGAGUACAGACGUCUCCGUACUGAUCCUUGAGACUCUACGUAGACUCGGCUUGUAUACACGUGAGACCUAUGAACCUGGGGCUCUGAUACCAUUUUGUCACGACCCAAAAAUAGGUGUGAUGUCACUUGUCUUAUCCCACCAAGACAAGUCAGCCUAAAACCCAAUAUCUAACAAAGUGCGGAAGUAAAUGACAAUCCAACAACAAUUUCUAGUAUGAAACCAAGUCAUAUUAAUUCAAUCCCCAAAACCAGGUUGUCACGUGCACAAGCCUCUAAUGUAAACAUUAGAAUUGAAAUAAAUUAGAAGUCUAAAAUGAAGUUGUUUUUCAAGUAAAAACAAAGUCAUAAACUGGAGUAGGAAAGUUCGCUGAGAUGACAAACAGCUACCUCACAAUCCUCCACAAGAUGCCUCGGAAACGAAGAGAAUGGAAGGUAUCACAAAAAUUCCGGCUCAUAACCUACAAAAAAAAUUUGUAGAAGCAAGGGGUGAGUACCAAACCACGCGGUACCCAACAAGCAAACCUCUAAACACAAGUUAAGUGAACAAAAUACGGGUACUCCUUACACCCUAUCUAAACCUCCACGCUACAGCCUAACAGUUUACCAAACACACCACUCAAUAACCACACUCUAUCAGUUUACACAUUCUCAAUAACAACUCAAUAUUCAACAAUCACAGACUUCACAGAGAAACAAUCACAAGAUCAGCAAAACACAUGUUCAAGUUCAUCAAUAAUAAAAUGUGCAAUGCCAUGAGAUGCAAUGUCAAAUAUCGUGAUGCAUGUCUUUCCUAACGAUACACACCCGCUGUCUCUCAGUCCGGGACCCAUGGGAGACAUAUCUGUCCAUGCAUUUGUCGCGGCGCACGACACGACCCUCGAUAAGUAGUAACCUUCGCGGCGCGCGAUACGUCCCUCGAAAUAUAAUAUCCAUCGCGGCGCGCGAUACGACCCUCGAAAAUAGUACACCAUCCUCUUACCACAACCAUGUCUCAGAUACAAUGCAAAUGACAUGCUCAAAUGAAAAGGAGGAGAUAACCAUUUGAUAACAAAGCACAAUAUACAACAAGAAAUACAACACCAACAAAUACACAACAAGUCUCCAAAUCAUUCUCAACAUCACACAAGGAAAUACACGAAUUUCGUACGCUUAAGAAGAGUUUAGA
rnacentral:lncRNA from 1 species